rnacentral:rRNA from 1 species
UACGAAGGGGGCUAGCGUUGUUCGGAUUUACUGGGCGUAAAGGGCGCGUAGGCGGUGCAAUAAGUCAGGCGUGAAAGCCCCGGGCUCAACCCGGGAAUUGCGCUUGAUACUGUUGCGCUUGAAUCCAGGAGAGGAUGGCGGAAUUCCCAGUGAAGAGGUGAAAUUCGUAGAUAUUGGGAAGAACACCAGUGGCGAAGGCGGCCAUCUGGCCUGGAAUUGACGCUGAGGCGCGAAAGCGUGGGGAGCGAACAGG